AGAAUUAUAGUUUAAUUUAAAACUUUUGAUUUGCUAUCAAAAAAUAUUUUUUAAAAAUUAAUUUUUA
rnacentral:tRNA from 1 species